AUGUGCAGUCAGGCCUAUGAUGCUAACAUCAUGCGACACAUGCAGUCGUACCUGAGUUGUGCUAGACCGUUGUCAAUAAUUCCACCUUGGCCCCCUGCCUGGCCGCUGCGGCUGCUCCCGCCAAUGGUCCCGGCCGCUCCAGGGCGGCUCCUACCGGUGGGCCCCGGCCGGCCGCGCUCCCAGGUCCCUACCGCCUGUCACUGGCCUGAGGCCGGCGCGGCUGUGGGGCGUGGGGCAAGCGCUGCUCCAGGGUUUUGGAGCCGCGCGCCGCCGGAGGAGCUGCUGUCGGGGCGGGGGUCUGGGCUGCUCGGGAGGCGGCGCGGGCCUCGCGCGGCUCUUGGGGCUUUGGGCUCGGGCCCCCGGCAACUUCAGGUGCGGGGCGUUCGCCAGGCCGGGCGCUCCUCGGCUCCCGCGCGCAGGGUUCCGGGGCGGUCCCGCAGCCACUGCCUGGGCGGGGAGCGAGGCCUGUCCGCAAGGGCCGGCGGCGCCUCCGGGGGACUACAGGAGGCUGCGCCCCGCAGCGGCCGGACUCUCGGAGGCCCUGAAGCUCCUGGGGCUGGCGUACCCUGAGCGCUGGAGGCUGGCAGUUCUUAGCAUGUGCGCAGCACAGAGUAGCAUCAUAGGGUGCACGCACCACUUCUGUAUGUGACUCAAAAUCAUUGAUGUCAUCUAUACCAACCCCACUGUGGACUACAGUGACAACCUGACCUGCCUCUGCCUUGGGCUCAGUGGUGUGUUUCUGUGUGGUGCUGCUGCCAAUGCCAUGUGUGUCUGCCUCAUGCAAACUUCAGGUCAGCGCAUUGUGAAUAGGCUGAGAACUUCAUUAUUCUCCUCCAUUCUGAGGCAGGAGGUUGCUUUCUUUGACAAGACCCGCACAGGAGAAUGGAUUAACCGCCUCUCAUCAGACACUGCACUCCUCGGGCGCUCAGUGACUGAAAACCUCUCAGAUGGGCUCAGGGCUGGGGCCCAGGCUUCUGUAGGCAUCAGUAUGAUGUUUUUUUGUCUCAUCUAAUCUGGCUACCUUUGUUUUGAGCUUGGUUCCUCCAGUGUCAAUCAUUGCUGUAAUUUAUGGACGAUAUCUACGGAAACUGACCAAAGUCACCCAGGAUUCCCUGGCACAAGCCACUCAGCUGAGGAACGUAUUGGAAAUGUAAGAACUGUUCGAGCUUUUGGGAAAGAAAUGACUGAAAUAGAGAAAUAUGCCAGCAAAGUGGACUAUGUGAUGCAGUUAGCAAGGAAAGAGGCAUUCGCUCGGGCUGGCUUCUUUGGAGCGACUGGGCUGUCUGGAAACCUGAUCGUGCUUUCUGUCCUGUACAAAGGAGGGCUGCUGAUGGGUAGUGCCCGCAUGACAGUGGGUGAACUCUCUUCCUUCCUAAUGUAUGCUUUCUGGGUUGGAGUAAGCAUUGGAGGUCUGAGCUCUUUUUACUAGGAGGUGAUGAAAGGACUGGGCGCCGGGGAGCGCCUCUGGGAGCUCCUGGAGAGAGAGAGACCAAGUUGCCUUUUAACGAGGGGGUCAUCUUAAAUGAGAAAAGCUUCCAGGGUGCUUUGGAGUUUGAGAACAUGCAUUUUACCUAUCCGGGUCACCCAGACGUGCCCAUGUUUCAGGAUUUCAGCCUUUCCAUUCCAUCAGGAUCUGUCACGGCAGUGGUUGGCCCAAGUGGUUCUGGCAAAUCAACAGUGCUUUCGCUCCUGCUGAGGUUGUAUGACCGUGUGUCCGGAACUAUGAGUCUUGAUGGCCAUGACAUCCGUCAGCUAAACCCAGUGUGGCUGAGAUCCAAGAUGGGACAGUGAGUCAGGAACCCAUUUUUUUUUCUUGCUCUAUCGCUGAGAACAUUGCUUAUGGCACUGACAACCCUUCCUCUGUGACUGCUGAGCAAGUCCAGAGAGUGGCUGAAGUGGCCAAUGCAGUGGCCUUCAUCCAGAACUUCCCCCAAGGGCUCAACACUGUGGUUGGAGAAAAGGGUGUUCUCCUUUCAGGUGGGCAGAAACAGCAGAUUGCAAUUGCCCGUGCUCUGCUUAAGAAUCCCAAAAUUAUUCUCCUAGAUGAAGCAACCAGUGUGCUGGAUGCUGAAAAUGAGUACCUUGUUCAAGAAGCUCUAGAUCGACUGAUGGAUGGAAGAACAGUGUUAAUUAUUGCCCAUCGUCUCUCCACCAUUAAGAAUGCUAAUACGGUUGCUGUUCUUGACCAAGGAAAAAUUACUGAAUAUGGAAAGCAUGAAGAACUGCUUUCAAAACCAAAUGGGAUAUACAGAAAACUAAUGAACAAAGAAAGUUUUAUAUCAGCAUAAAGAAGCAAUUACUGGUAAACAAUAUGAAAGACUUUAAUACAAAAUAGUGAUGCAGGGAAAAAAACCCGAGAGACUCUACGAAAUAUGUAAACUAUGUAACAAGUUAUUUGAAAAGUAUCUAUUCUUUCCAAAGUAUGUAAAAUAUUAUUUUGAAAUGUACCUGUUCUCAAGUUCUUUUUAUUCAGAGUUUUAAUAAUUGCAACUUUUUAAAUGUCUAUAGCACUGAAGUUAUUUUCAGGUUUUGUAUUUCCUUUUAUCGUGAAAUACUUUAAUGAAUAUAGCAUGGCACCACAUUUUCUUUUCCUUGCUCUUAAAGAUUGAAGUUAUUGUCAAAUGACAACUUUUAAAACGGAAUUACAAAGGCUUUUUAAGCCUGAUUAUUUUAGGCCAGUUUACCAAUCACUGUGUAAUUCUUCUGGUAGUAUUCCACCUGCUUUAAGUCUAAUUUCACUAGCUAAAGUAAUGGAAAAUGAAAUUUUAACCCUUUUUUUAAUUCUGAUAAUCUCAUGAAGCAAACCUGGUUAACUAAAGUCAGCUGGAAAAAGGGAACAUUUAUGUUGCCCAUCUCCUGUGUCUUCAAAGGUGUGAGAGUUGAGGAAUAUGUGUUCCUAUGGGAACUAUGUUUGAGUAUGUGCAGUUUUCAACAUUUUGGCACAUGAAAGCCUGACACGUUUUUAAAAGGGCACAAGCUGCAUCUUUUAAACAGAAAAACCUGUUUUUUUAAAUUCACAUGUUUGUAUGAGUACUUUUGGGAAGCAAGGCAUUAACUGUUAGGUAUUAAGAAUGAAUGGAUUUUGCAUUUAAGUUGUUUGAAGGCAUGUAUUUUGAAAAAUAUCUGUUACAAAUUUAUAAUUCCAUGACAAAUUGAAUCUUCGUUUUUUAUAAUACUUUUAGAAUUUCAUUAAUAAGGCUAAAAUCUGAGGACUAUGACUAACAUUUAGCCUUAAGACAUUUAAGUUUGGAAGUUCUUACUAUUCAACACAAUAACAAAAAACCUCCAGAAUGUAUCACUCCCCUGAAAAGAAGACAUUAAUAAGCCCUUUUAUUUAUGGUUACAGUUUUAUUUAGUUUCAAAAUUCCUAAAGCAAUGCUGACAACCAUCUAAUUUGCUAUAUUUUGUAUCAGUGCUGUUAAUUUGCUGUUACCUUUAGAAAAAGUGCUUUUUCUCCACUGAUGAGGCUAGACUCCAAUAAGUAAUUAUGUCAGUGUAAAUAAAACGGAAGUAUUUCCAUGAACUAAGCAUUUAUUAGUUCCCUGAUUAGACUGGAAGAUGAAACCACUAUUUCAGGAAAAACAUGGAAUAUUAUAUUUCAUUCUUCAUAAUUUAUUAAUGAAUAAAAUUGAUAUGAAUGAAUGAAUGAAUGUAGUGUUCUCUGAAUUAGUAAACAGUAUAUCUGUGACAAUCAUUUUAACAAGUUCUACUUGUGUUCUUUAUAAAGUGUGAUUUUCAGAAAGCAAACAAAACACAAUUACAAGGUUGAAUCUGAGAAAAAUAAUCCUUGUACCAUAGAAGUAUUUACAAAAUUGCAUUUCAUUGUUAUGUUUUAUUUUCUGAUACAUGAUGUUCAAUUAUAUCUUUAGGUAAUAUUUUAAUCAUAGAUUAAAAUUUAUAGUGAACUUUAAAAAAA